rnacentral:rRNA from 1 species
UGGGCGUAAAGCGUCCGCAGGUGGCAAUUUAAGUCGAAUAUUAAAUCUUAAGGCCCAACCUUGAGGCUGUAUUUGAAACUAUUUUGCUAGAGUUUUCCAGAGGCAUGCGGAAUUCUGUGUGUAGGGGUAAAAUCCGUAGAUACACAGAGGAACACCAAAAGCGAAGGCAGCAUGCUGGGGAAAUACUGACACUCAUGGACGAAAGCGUGGGUAGCGAACGGGAUUAGAUACCCCGGUAGUCCACGCCGUAAACGAUGGAUACUAGUUGUUGGUCCGCUCGAACGGAUCGGUGACGACGCUAACGCAUUAAGUAUCCCGCCUGUGGAGUACGGUCGCAAGACUAAAACAUAAAGGAAUAGACGGGGACCCACACAAGCGGUGGAGCACCUGGCUUAAUUCGAUAAUGAGCGAGGAACCUUACCUAGGUUUGACAUCUCGGGAAUUUUCUAGAAAUAGAAAAGUGCCUUAUGGAACCCGAUGACAGGUGCUGCAUGGUUGUCGUCAGCUCGUGCCUUGAGGUGUUCGGUUAAGUCCGUAAACGAGCGCAACCCAUGUCCUGUGUUGCAUUUUUCACAGGAGACUGCCUCGCCAAACGAGGAGGAAGGUAUGGAUGACGUCAAAUCAGCAUGGCCCUUAUACCUAGGGCUGCACAGGUGCUACAAUGGCUAGUACAAUGGGUAGCAAUGUCGCAAGGCGGAGCCAAUCCCAAAAGCUAGUCUAAGUUCGAAUUGAGUGCUGCAACUCGCACUCAUGAAGUUGGAAUCGCUAGUAA